GAUUUCUGGUUAAGUAACGCUAGCCCGCCCUUGCCAGGGGUGUGCGCUGGUUAGUUGCUUGCCAUCUUUCUAGAAAGCCAGCAGCUGUCAUUCACUUGGCGGCUGUGACGCGAUCUAGAUCUUUUACUUUGAAAAAAUUAGAGUGUUUCAAGCAGGCGUUUUGCUAUGAAUACAUUAGCAUGGAAUAAUGAGUUAGGACUUCGGUUCUAUUUUGUUGGUUUCUAGGACUGAAGUAAUGAUUGAUAGGGAUAGUUGGGGGUGCUAGUAUUCAGCGGCCAGAGGUGAAAUUCUUGGAUUCGCUGAAGACUAACUUAUGCGAAAGCAUU
rnacentral:rRNA from 1 species